CGCUCAGAACCGUUGAGUGUGGCAGCACGCCAUUCCACCAACACUCUAGUAGUAGCUUCGGGCGGCAGUAGAUACAGACUUGAGGCGAACGGGCCGCGGCUGGGCAAUGGAUGACACGUGGAAACUCAUCAUCAUUAUGCACUUGCUGGCGGCCGUCUCAGGACAGCCUGUAUAAAGACGGAACUGGAAAUAGACAUUAUUUUCUACAAUACAUAUGACUGCUUCCCAUUCCACUGACAGAAGACGCAUGAUCUCUAGUUACGAUUCCAUUUGGCCGCCUGCGCCAAGGGUACUCCGGAAAUAAUGUCACGUCUCCGUUUCCAUGACAAUUUGGAUGAAAAUAAUACUAAUGGCAAAAUAUUGUUAAAAUUUGCCUCCAUCUUUCCUCAGUUUUCAUUUCAAAUAUAUCUAUCAUGUAUCUAACAAUAAAAGUUGUCCAUCUUUUGCA